rnacentral:misc_RNA from 1 species
GUGAAGAACGUAGCGAAAUGCGAUAAGUAAUGUGAAUUGCAGAAUUCAGUGAAUCAUCGAAUCUUUGAACGCACAUUGCGCCCAUUAGUAUUCUAGUGGGCAUGCCUGUUCGAGCGUCAUUAAGUCCACUUAAGCCCUGCUUAGUGUUGGGAGACUGCUCCAGCGGUGCUACCCUGUAGCUACCCUGCAGCUCCUCAAAGACAGCGGCGGAGUUGUGGUAUCCUCUGAGCUUAGUAACUUGUUCUAGCUUUCGAGUACACCACUUCCCCUGCCGUAAAACCCUUAAUUUUUAAUGGUUGACCUCGGAUCAGGUAGGAAUACCCGCUGAACUUAAGCAUAUCAAUAAGCGGAGGA